UUUCCGUAGGUGAACUUGCGGAAGGAUCAUUAUUGUAUAACCGAGGUGCGAGGGCUGUCGCUGACCCGAAAGGUCGUGCACGCCCGAGUGCCCUCACACACAUCCAUUUCACCCCUAUGUGCACCACCGCGUGGGUCCCCCUUUGGCUUGUUCGGAGGGGGGCUUACGUUUUCACACAAACUUUGUAUGCAGUGUAGAAUGUAUUUUUUGUUUUUGCGAUCACGCAAUCAAUACAACUUUCAACAACGGAUCUCUUGGCUCUC
rnacentral:misc_RNA from 1 species